AUUGAACGCUGGCGGCAUGCCUUACACAUGCAAGUCGAACGGCAGCACGGGGCAACCUGGUGGCGAGUGGCGAACGGGUGAGUAAUGCAUCGGAACGUACCUUUCAGUGGGGGAUAACGUAGCGAAAGUUACGCUAAUACCGCAUACUCUGUGAGCAGGAAAGCAGGGGAUCGCAAGACCUUGCGCUUAUUGAGCGGCCGAUGUCAGAUUAGCUAGUUGGUGAGGUAAAGGCUCACCAAGGCGACGAGCUGUAGCGGGGCUGAGAGGAUGAUCCGCCACACUGGAACUGAGACACGGUCCAGACUCCUACGGGAGGCAGCAGUGGGGAAUUUUGGACAAUGGGGGCAACCCUGAUCCAGCCAUGCCGCGUGAGUGAAGAAGGCCUUCGGGUUGUAAAGCUCUUUCGGCCGGGAAGAAAUCGCACGGGCUAAUACCCUGUGUGGAUGACGGUACCGGAAUAAGAAGCACCGGCUAACUACGUGCCAGCCGCCGCUGUAACAC
rnacentral:rRNA from 1 species